UAACGAGAAUCCUCAUCCGAGCUAGAGGGAUUUCUGGAGCUUUCCAGAACACCAAGGUCUACUCCAAAUGCCACAAUCCUAUCUAUCACAAAAUGGUCGCUCCAGAAAUGACCAAUCUUCUCUUUAAAUAUCACCAAUUCCAUUUUCUAUUUCAACUAUUAUCUCGAGGCCCUGUGUAAAAUCUUUCGUUGGUCACGAGAUCACAUCAAACAUGUCCCAAGCUCUGUCGAAUUUGAGCCUUUCUCUUCCUUUAUCUUCAAGAAGCAGCUCUUCUGGAUCAAGAAACUUCUACUUCUUCAAAACAAAUGGGGCAGGCUUUAAUUCUUCCCUUAAGGCCAUGGCAGCUGAUAACAGAGACAAUCUUGUCCACCUGCAGAGGGCCAGCAAGCAACAGCAACAGACUCAGCGCAAGAAAAGAGUGGCUUCUGUUGCACCAGUAGGGUUGUGGGACAGAUUCCCAACAGCCAGAACAGUGCAGCAGAUGAUGGAGUCGAUGGAGAGGAUGAUGGAGGACCCAUUUGCAUACUCCGGCGGGUGGCAAUCACCACCACCACAGCCGCCUACGACUGGAAGUGGGUAUGGCAGAGGAAGGACACCAUGGGAGAUAAAAGAGGGAGAAAGCGAGUACAAGAUGAGGUUUGACAUGCCUGGAAUGACCAAGGAAGAUGUGAAGGUGUGGAUUGAGGAGAAGAUACUGGUUGUGAAGGCAGAGAAAGUGCCUAAGAAGAAAGUGAAUGGUGAAAAUAAUGGAGAAGAGGAGGAGGAGGAGGAGUGGUCUGCCAAAAGCUAUGGAAAGUAUGGCAGUAGAAUAGCAUUGCCUGAGAACAUCGCGUUUGAGAAGAUCAAGGCUGAGGUUAAAGAUGGGGUCUUGUAUAUAACCAUCCCUAAAGCCAGUACCACUGGCAAAAUUCUUGAUAUUGAUGUUAAGUGAUCACUUCUGUAUCUACAUGCAAAUGGCUUUUAGGUUAUAUGUAAAGAUUUCAAUGGUUUUUGUUGGUUAACUUGGAAGAAAGUUUUGCCCUUUUUGGGUGUAAAGCGAACCAGUUAUUUAGUUCAAAAAAAUUGUCUUUUCUUUCCCUUUUCUCCUUAUAUGUUCAGAUAAGAGAUGAACCCAAUUCUUCCCAAUCCAUUGGCAACGUGAAUGAUUUUGCUUGUAAUCAUCAGUCACGCAUUUACAGAAUUUAAUUUAUUUAACUGUUGUGAAGCUUUAGGAAGAGCUAUAAGGUAUACAAGACAUUAAGCUCUUUCCAAGCUUUAUGGGGCGGAAGAAAUUUC
rnacentral:misc_RNA from 1 species